UACGAAGGGGGCUAGCGUUGUUCGGAAUCACUGGGCGUAAAGGGCGCGUAGGCGGCUUUGUAAGUCGGGGGUGAAAGCCUGUGGCUCAACCACAGAAUUGCCUUCGAUACUGCAUGGCUUGAGACCGGAAGAGGUAAGUGGAACUGCGAGUGUAGAGGUAAAAUUCGUAGAUAUUCGCAAGAACACCAGUGGCGAAGGCGGCUUACUGGUCCGGUUCUGACGCUGAGGCGCGAAAGCGUGGGGAGCAAACAGG
rnacentral:rRNA from 1 species